rnacentral:lncRNA from 1 species
UUUUUACGUAUUGUCUCCUACAUUCUACCACUCGGGGGGAAGGAGGAGUAAUUUAGAGAAAAGUAAGACUGAUAGAAGAAGAAGAAAAAGGUGGAAGACCUAAAACAAAGCAAAGGCCCUCUCUGUUCUCUGCUGUGUACAGGCAAAACGAAGUGUGUAAUUGCGGAAACCUAAUCGGAUCUCUUGAUCAAGUGUUUGCUCGAGAUUUACCGAAAGGUAAAGGUAUUGUCCUGCGUGUCAGGCAGGAGGAGGAGGACCACGGCUGGGGUGUCCCCAGCCCUGGGGCACUGGAGAUCGCUUCCAGCCCGCAACUUUUCACACUUCGGUCUGAGCUCCUGUACCCGGAAAUUUCCUGGAGACCUCUGGAAGUCUUUCCUCCUGCGCUGGGAUACUUGUGUUAAAACAUUUCAGCUCGACGCCUGAAGAGCCCUCUGCUAAUUCGAGUGCUAAACUCUCUCUCUUUUUUUUUCUUUCCAGCAGUUUUAGCAAAACAAUCUUUCUAUACACUUUUUUUCCUGCUUUUGAGUAGAAAAAAAAAAAAAGAGAAAAAGAAAAAAAAAGAAUCUGAAUUCACUACUUCUGAAAUUUGUGCGAGACAAUUUUGAGUAGGAAAUAAACGCCUCCCUGCUCCCCCCCCCCGCCUCCCCCUCUCCGGUGGAUAAAUUAUACUGCCCAAAAUGUAUGGUGUCUUUGUUCACCGCUAGUCCCUAGUUGCUAUGGAGAGUUUUACGCCUUAGUAAACUAUAUUUCACCUCCUCCCGGUGAAAGCUAUUCUGCUCCCAGAUGCACACGUUACAGCCCACGGUCUUUGCAGCCCCCCCCCCCCGGCGUCGGCUGUGCUCCCCCAGCCCGGCGCGGCCGUCCCCGGGCCGCAGCCGUGUCCCCACGCUGCUCGGGGCUCUCCGGCGGCCCUGCAGCACUCGCCCAAUUGUCUGCCGACCGCCAGAUGCUCUCCUGCUUCUGCCCGUUCCCAUUGUCCCUUUCUGAAGGAUAGCCCCGUCCGUCCGAGGGCCGCAGCUAACCGUGGCACACGUC